UUCGCAAUGCCCGAAAGGGUGACGAAGCGACGCCGCGUGUGGGAAGAAGGCCUUCGGGUUGUAAACCACUGUCGGGAGUUAAGAAAUACAAGGAUAUUAAUAGUGUCUUUGUUUGACUAAGGCUCCGGAGGAAGCCACGGCUAACUCUGUGCCAGCAGCCGCGGUAAUACAGAACUGGCGGCAAGCGUUGUUCGGAAUUAUUGGGCGUAAAGAGCACGUAGGCGGCUAUGUAAGUCGGUUGUGAAAGCCUUCCGCUCAACGGAAGAACAGCAUCCGAUACUACAUGGCUUGGAGUGCGGGAGGGGAGAGUGGAACUUCUGGUGGAGCGGUGAAAUGCGUAGAUAUCAGAAGGAACGCCGGCGGCGAAAGCGGCUCUCUGGCCCAUAACUGACGCUGAGUGUGCGAAAGCUAGGGGAGCAAACGGGAUUAGAUACCCCGGUAGUCCUAGCCGUAAACGAUGGGCACUAAGUAGAGGGGA
rnacentral:rRNA from 1 species